rnacentral:rRNA from 1 species
GUAUUAAAGGUCUUGCCUGCCCAGUGAAACUUCUUUUUCAACGGCCGCGGUAUUCUAACCGUGCAAAGGUAGCGUAAUCACUUGUCUUCUAAAUAAAGACCAGUAUGAACGGCUAAAUGAGGACAAACCUGUCUCCUACAACCAAUCAGUGAAACUGAUCUCCCAGUCCAAAAGCUGGAAUAUUAACAUUAGACGAGAAGACCCUGUGGAGCUUAAAACUUACCCAGUAACUAACAACUGACAUAAGUUUUAAGUUGGGGCGACUUCGGAACAAAACAAAACUUCCGAGCACAGAACCACCAAUUCUUUACCGAGGCAAACAGGCCAAAGCAAACAACUGACCCAGUAAAACUGAUCAACGAACCAAGUUACCCCAGGGAUAACAGCGCCAUCCUCUUCAAGAGUCCAUAUCGACAAGAGGGUUUACGACCUCGAUGUUGGAUCAGGGCACCCAAAUGGUGCAACCGCUAUUAAAGGUUCGUUUGUUCAACGAUUAACAGCC